rnacentral:rRNA from 1 species
UUUUAUGGAGAGUUUGAUCCUGGCUCAGGAUGAACGCUGGCGGCGUGCCUAAUACAUGCAAGUCGAGCGAACGGACGAGAAGCUUGCUUCUCUGAUGUUAGCGGCGGACGGGUGAGUAACACGUGGAUAACCUACCUAUAAGACUGGGAUAACUUCGGGAAACCGGAGCUAAUACCGGAUAAUAUUUUAAACCGCAUGGUUCAAAAGUGAAAGACGGUCUUGCUGUCACUUAUAGAUGGAUCCGCGCUGCAUUAGCUAGUUGGUAAGGUAACGGCUUACCAAGGCAACGAUGCAUAGCCGACCUGAGAGGGUGAUCGGCCACACUGGAACUGAGACACGGUCCAGACUCCUACGGGAGGCAGCAGUAGGGAAUCUUCCGCAAUGGGCGAAAGCCUGACGGAGCAACGCCGCGUGAGUGAUGAAGGUCUUCGGAUCGUAAAACUCUGUUAUUAGGGAAGAACAUAUGUGUAAGUAACUGUGCACAUCUUGACGGUACCUAAUCAGAAAGCCACGGCUAACUACGUGCCAGCAGCCGCGGUAAUACGUAGGUGGCAAGCGUUAUCCGGAAUUAUUGGGCGUAAAGCGCGCGUAGGCGGUUUUUUAAGUCUGAUGUGAAAGCCCACGGCUCAACCGUGGAGGGUCAUUGGAAACUGGAAAACUUGAGUGCAGAAGAGGAAAGUGGAAUUCCAUGUGUAGCGGUGAAAUGCGCAGAGAUAUGGAGGAACACCAGUGGCGAAGGCGACUUUCUGGUCUGUAACUGACGCUGAUGUGCGAAAGCGUGGGGAUCAAACAGGAUUAGAUCCCCUGGUAGUCCACGCCGUAAACGAUGAGUGCUAAGUGUUAGGGGGUUUCCGCCCCUUAGUGCUGCAGCUAACGCAUUAAGCACUCCGCCUGGGGAGUACGACCGCAAGGUUGAAACUCAAAGGAAUUGACGGGGACCCGCACAAGCGG